ACGAACGCUGGCGGCACGCUUAACACAUGCAAGUCGAACGAGAGAAGAGGAGCUUGCUUUUCUGAUCUAGUGGCGGACGGGUGAGUAACACGUGAGCAAUCUGCCUUUCAGAGGGGGAUACCGAUUGGAAACGAUCGUUAAUACCGCAUAACAUAAUUGAACCGCAUGAUUUGAUUAUCAAAGAUUUAUCGCUGAAAGAUGAGCUCGCGUCUGAUUAGCUAGUUGGUAAGGUAACGGCUUACCAAGGCGACGAUCAGUAGCCGGACUGAGAGGUUGAUCGGCCACAUUGGGACUGAGACACGGCCCAGACUCCUACGGGAGGCAGCAGUGGGGAAUAUUGCACAAUGGAGGAAACUCUGAUGCAGCGAUGCCGCGUGAGGGAAGAAGGUUUUAGGAUUGUAAACCUCUGUCUUCAGGGACGAAAAAUGACGGUACCUGAGGAGGAAGCUCCGGCUAACUACGUGCCAGCAGCCGCGGUAAUACGUAGCGAGCGAGCGUUGUCCGGAAUUACUGGGUGUAAAGGGAGCGUAGGCGGGAUCGCAAGUCAGAUGUGAAAACUAUGGGCUUAACCCAUAAACUGCAUUUGAAACUGUGGUUCUUGAGUGAAGUAGAGGUAAGCGGAAUUCCUAGUGUAGCGGUGAAAUGCGUAGAUAUUAGGAGGAACAUCAGUGGCGAAGGCGGCUUACUGGGCUUUAACUGACGCUGAGGCUCGAAAGCGUGGGGAGCAAACAGGAUUAGAUACCCUGGUAGUCCACGCCGUAAACGAUGAUUACUAGGUGUGGGGGGACUGACCCCUUCCGUGCCGCAGCAAACGCAAUAAGUAAUCCACCUGGGGAGUACGACCGCAAGGUUGAAACUCAAAGGAAUUGACGGGGGCCCGCACAAGCAGUGGAGUAUGUGGAUUAAUUCGAAGCAACGCGAAGAACCUUACCAGGUCUUGACAUCGUAUGCAUAGCUCAGAGAUGAGUGAAAUCUCUUCGGAGACAUAUAGACAGGUGGUGCAUGGUUGUCGUCAGCUCGUGUCGUGAGAUGUUGGGUUAAGUCCCGCAACGAGCGCAACCCUUACUGUUAGUUGCUACGCAAGAGCACUCUAGCAGGACUGCCGUUGACAAAACGGAGGAAGGUGGGGAUGACGUCAAAUCAUCAUGCCCCUUAUGACCUGGGCCUCACACGUACUACAAUGGCUGUCAACAGAGGGAAGCAAAGCCGCGAGGUGGAGCAAACCCCUAAAAGCAGUCUUAGUUCGGAUUGUAGGCUGCAACCCGCCUACAUGAAGUCGGAAUUGCUAGUAAUCGCAGAUCAGCAUGCUGCGGUGAAUACGUUCCCGGGCCUUGUACACACCGCCCGUCACGCCAUGGGAGUCGGUAACACCCGAAGCCUGUAGUCUAACCGCAAGGAGGACGCAGUCGAAGGUGGGAUUGAUGACUGGGGUG
rnacentral:rRNA from 1 species